GCGGGUCUCUCUCCCCGUCCCCGCGGCGAACCGCUCGGUGAGCGACGGCCCGGUUACCAUUCCACUUUACCGUGGGGGGGUGGGGGCCGUAAAGGCAAAUACAGUCCAUUACAUACAUGCUCUCUGGCAAGAGGACUUAACACAGUUUGCUGUAUACAUUCUUUGGCAAAAGACCCUGUGAGCCAAGCAUCCCCUGAAGGGAACUGAUACUACCCCUUCAAGCAGUAAGGGCUGCACUGAACCAGCAAGACCCCACCCAUGACAAUGAAGACCUGACCUUUACUGCCCACCUGCAAGUACCUACUUACCUUUGUCCCACAUUUUCCUGGUAUAAACCUAGAAGUAUUUUUGGCACUUUGGAGAAAGUCUUUGAGAUGUUAGUCUGCUGUCUUUGUCUUCCAGUGUUGGGCUCACUGAAAUAAAUUCCUUUCUUAUUUCAUCUCCA